GGUUCAAGUGCACGGUAGAUCGGUGAUGUUUGGUGAAAUUAUCAGCAUUUAAAUUGCUGUCACUGUUGCGGAAGAACUUUUUCUCCGGUUAGCCUUUUUGUAGCCGCUAAGCUAGUAGUCGCCCCUUUACCAAAAUGGUCUUACCAAGCUCCUGUCUUUCCCUGCUCCAUAUACAACAAACGCAAACGUCCCUCGCUUGUUUACUGCUAUGACAAUAUUAUGUCCACACCAUUAACUCAUGGUCUAUGGGUGAGACCCCAGCCUCCUGUAUCCAGUAUAAUGCAGGAGUCACUCACAGACAGAGAUGCUGAUUUCUCUGUCAAAGGUGUCGAGAA
rnacentral:lncRNA from 1 species